CUACCCAGAAGGGCAGACCUACGUUUUGGGAAAGGGGAGGGGGCGGCUGGUGUGUAGAGUUCUGUGCCACCAGGAAACAGGUGGAAGCUCUGGGGGAGUGGAGAGGGGCCUGCUGAGAGGAAGCAGGCACGGAGUCCAUUUUCAUCUGUUCCUGAAAUACGUGUAGUGGGUGAGCAGCUCACUCUGGCCUCUCAAAUUAGCAAAAGCACCACUUGGCUUUCUGAAAUGUAUUUCUAGUGGCGGUGGUGCCCUGACAGAGCCUCAUGUGUUGCUGCUGGGCAAGCUCUACCUAUCCUUUGGCACCAUGGACGGCAGCAUCACUGAUGGACAAAAGAAAUGACUAGAGACUUGGCUUCAAAAAAGGAUGAACAACGGCCCAGCGCUGACUCACCGCUCAGCUGCAAGUGCCUGGCCGAGAGGGAGGCCGCAGGCAUCCGCACAGGAGCGCAUCCCACUAAGGUGGCGUGUGCUGGGGGGCGCACAAAGCCUUCUCUUCUGCUUCUGGCUCACGGCCCAGGCUCUCCCCUGGGUCCCUUUCCCCUCCUCCUUGUCAACAUUUGCUGCGACUUCCAGUGCCAGAGGUCUUGAACUCUUCACUGCCCUCCCCAGGCCCAUCCCAGUCACCUGUGCUCACCGGCCUGUUUUCGCCUCCACUCCUGCAUUCCUGCGCGGGGCAGGGAGCCUGUGCUCACCUCCUUUCCUUCCCACGCCCACCUUGGCCCAGCCGAAAUGUUUCCUCCCUCCUUCCUUCGCUGUGGUGGAAAAGCUGUCCAACAGCCUUUAGAUGAAGACAUCGCAAAGCACAUAUCCAAUCCCAGUGGCCGUGCCCUGAGCUGCUCUGGUUAAACCCUGCCUGGAGCUUCGAACAAAGAGGACCUUUGCCAUCACAGACGAACUAAAACGUCAAACAUUUGACCACUGGGAGGAAAGUGGUGCACAUACUGAUAGACAUUCGCAUUGAGAGAGGAGCUGUGAGAAAGCGCACCAGCUAAGGUCACCUGUAUGGCAUGUGCGCCGUGCCAUGGAUGUUACCGACUGAAUUUCUUUUCAAGCCUGGGAAGCUAGCACAGCCCCAUUUAACAGCUCAACAGGGACAGUGUACUGAUCCUGUGGCCAUGUGUUUGCAGCAUCUGAAGGAUGCCAGCCAUCCUGCAGCUUUCUAGUUGCUCAGGGUCAGCAUCAGUCAUUACCUAGUAAGUUCCAAAUGCUCACUCACCUGAAUGUAGUGUGCUAAUGAAAUCUUGAAGUGGUGGAAUUUAUAACUGGGUAUCUAUGCUUCUCCCCAGUCAUUUAAAAAAAUUCAUUCCCAUACCUGGAGAGCCAAAGAAAGGCCAUAAUAUAUCUCUAGGCCACUGUCAUCACCACCACCUUUAGAAUGAGUGAGAGGAAACCAAUCAAGGGUCCCUCUCACAGCCCCUCACUGCUCCAGACUGCCUGCAGUGUAUGUAAUCCAUGCAAUUUGGGGAGUAAAUUAAAUAGAAGUUCUGUGCUAUUGUUGAUUUGAGGAAGCAUCAAGGUGUUGCACAAAAGCUUCUUCAAACAGAAAGAGACUUUUAUGAGGAAACUAGAUAUGAAGGCCUUCCCACGUCUUUGUCCCAGGAAAACAGAACGAAACUUGCCUUGUCCCCGGCUCCUGAGAAAUAGAAGAGCCAUCAUGCCCGUGUUAGAAACGUGAGCUGCAGGACUACUCAGGUUAACAAAAUAAUAAUGACUCAGUGCUUGAAGACAGUCUACAAAUAAGUGCAUCCAGUGAAGACCAAAUCUGGAAACUAUGAUCCUUGAAGAAAACGUCAGCAUUCGCACACAGAUCCAUGCCUGCAUGACAGAAGUAAUUUGCACCGUAAAGGGAAACUUGUUCCAUCCAGUUCCUGCAUGAAUUAUGUCUUUCUUGGUGACUUUGAACCGUGGAGUGGGUUAACAUCCUGGGACUCCUCUCCUGGAGGUGACAGUGGGUGUCACUUGCCUGAUAGCUGUCAUCAAGGAAAUCUGGCUGUAGGAAGAGGGAACCCAGCCAUGAGAAUAGGAUUCCAGAGCAAGAUUUAAACCCUAGUUCCUAGAGCACUACCAGGUACGUAGUAUGUAGAUGAAUGAAGGGAGGACUGAGAAG